CAAAAUAAUUUAUUACAGCAUUACAUUGUUGAACUUUUUACAGUAAAGUUUUCAUUCAACUAGCGCUCCUAAGCGAAUGACGAAGGAGAUCUGUCUUCAUGACGUCUUGGUAAAACUUCUCUUUGUAAAUUUUGCAUAGGACCAUCUUAAAUAUUUACAUUAUUCAAAAAAAGUUGAAAACAAACUGGUUCCAUUGUGGGGUUUUUUUUUUAAACAAAGGUGUUUUUUUUUAUACAAGCCACAGUGAAUUUUCUUUUUACAUUUUCAGGAAUAGUUAUUUAUGUCCUGAAAGGGGGAAGCAGGGGAACAUUUAAAACUGAAUCAAAAUGUUGAUAUGUUAUACGUGAAGUGCAGGUAUGUCAACUUAUAAAAAUUAAACAGGGGAAGAAAGGAUGAAAUGCAAUGUAUAAUUAAACGAAGUUGUGCUUUAAAGAAAAAAUAACCUUAUUUAACGUUAACAACUUCACAGCAUGUGAUAGAACAUUAUUUUUUUCCCCGACUAUUGGUUUUCUGAUUCAUUUCUCGAACAUUUUAAUGUAGCUCACCAUUAUUAUCAUUAUUAUUAUGAUGACCACAUUCUCCAUUAAUUUCCUCCCUUCUGUUUUGGAAGGGAAAUGUUUUUAAAAUUCCUAAGCAAUAAAAAAGGUAACUUAAUCGUCAUAAUGGCAACUUAAUGGUAUUAAGGGUUUAAUGGAUCAUUGAAAAGAAUCAUUACGAACCAAAAUAAUUUACAAGUUUUAAAAAACGACAUUCUCCACUUUAUAAAUCCGAACGCGUCUUUCCGAUGAAUCAGAAUUUCCAUACAAUACUAGGAAACUGACAAAACUAGCCCGGUACCCAUCAGGAGCCAUGCUUUGAAAGAAAUGGAAAAUAAUAUGUGUAGUUCAGGGUUGUAAUGACGGAGUCCUUGGUGCUCUCUGAGCUUGAUGGUUUUCUUGCAGACGUUUCAUGACCCAACUAGGUAAUGUCAUCAGUGCCAGAAGGGAGCGGGGUUUUUGCCCUGUGUUUGUGACCUAGUUGGGCAAUGAAACAAUCCAUCUCAGGGAGCACCAAGGACCCCCAUGGAAACA